UCCCUUCUCUCUACUCCCUAUCCCACACCGUUAGGUUUCUACAGCUCUGGGCUGGGAGCCAAGACUCGCUUCUCUUCUGCUACCUCAGACGACACCUGCCAGGAGAGAGGAACGGGGUGCCUGUGUACCAGAGCAAGAUGAGGUGCCCAGGCCUGGCAGAGAGACCUCUGUCUUCCCAAUACCUCUCAAACAGCAAGGUGAGCUGCCCAGGGGCGUUAGGGAGGGGCAACUCUGAUGCCCCUCACCACCAAAGCCCCUCUAAUUUGGAUGUCCCACUCCACCCCACCUGGAUGUCAAAAGGCCACGCCCUGGCUUCUUAGACCCCUGGGCUUUCACCUGUGGCCAGGAUGAGGGAAGUCCCUAGAUCAGGAACAGAAAGCCACCACCACCGCCCAACCCAUCCUCUAGUUAUCUGGCCCUAGGCCGCUCACUUGCAGGCUGGGUGGCUGGACCGAGUCACAUAAUGUUCCACUGUUACCCCAGCAGCUGGGACAACCAUUGAGACCUCUCCUCCCAAAUAGGCACCCUUGAGGAGGUUGGAGAUGAAGGGCUGGGACAGAGUCUUCUUUGCUGGGGGCGACAGCCUGCUAGGGACUCAACAGCAGUUUCCUUAGAAGGAAGCGGCGCAGUUUGGAAGCCGUGGCAGGCGCCGAGAGCGCCUCUGAACCCGAGCCUGGGAGGGGGGAGAGAGAAGAGGAGACGCAAAGGGGCUGCUCUUUGGCCCCAUUCCCCGACCUUGGAGGAUUCCUCCCCUACCCUCCCCCCAGGCGGCUGCAGUCCCCCCCACUGAGAACGCGACCUCCUCGCCUGGACUCCCGGCUCCGCGGAUUCGGUCUCCCUGACCAGAGCCCUUUCCACCCCACCCUAGCGCUUCCAGUCCCAACCACUGGAGACCUAGUCGAGCGAAGUGGGGAAAGGGCAGCAAGCACCCAACGAGGGACCCAGAAGAGCCUGAUGGCCCUAAGAACCCCUUGUAGAUUUGUGUAGCUGUUAUGACAGUUUUCCAGCAGGUGGCAGACAAGCAUUUCCAGCUACAAGGCAGCCAAGCCGAAGUACAGAUCAGAGACCAUCUUCCAGACUCCCAGGACAGCGAUCUUUCAGUCUCCCAGCAAGUAGGCCCCCUUCCACUUUCUCCAAGUGUAAACUGUCCAGGUGAUAGGAAGAAGAGAGGGGCUGGAAGCUGAACUUGUAGGGACAGAACACAAAAGUUGCAAACUGACGGCACCUACUGGCAACUAUCAAGACUGCAGAAGAUCUGGAGAGUUCUGACGGGGUGGGGGGCGGGAGGGCCCGGGGACAAGAUUCUGGGAUUCUCUCCCUGCUAUCUCACAGACAAACUGGGGUCUUUUCUGUCUUGGAUAAGGGCAAACAGAGCCAGGCUCUUUACGUCCCCGGGGGAAGCCCAGCCUGCACCUGAUUCAGAAAACUUCCCCUAGCUCUAUCCCCCUCCAUCAUCACUGAGGCACCAACGUAUUGUAUGAACUUGGACACCACCCCUUGGAGCUGGAAUUGUCCCUAACUAUAAAAUGGAGGUAUAUCAUCUCCACCUAUUCUGCCUCUUGAAGAGCUUGUGGGAAUAAAAUGGGAACUGAAAGGAUGGGUUCCAACCCCAAAGCCAGACUUGCCCCCUUGACAGCAAACCUGAGAGAGCUAAAGGUGCUGGGACAUGGAGGAAGGAGUUGCAGGAGAGGCUGGACUGAAGCCAAAAGAAGGACCUGGAAGUGAAGCAUGAGUGCAGGUGAGUAUGGGAAAUCCAGAAAGGCUUCCAGGUAAGACAGGUGCCCAGACCCCUAUCCAUCCACUGGUGUUCACCACCCCCACCGCCAAACAUCAGUGUCUGAGAUAAUUCCAAAGAGGCAGGAAAAUAGACGUAAGUAGAUCAUCGAAGCACCUCCCCACCAUUCAUGCAGCACAUAUUUACUGGACACUGUGCACAGGCUUUGUGCUACAUUCAAGGACCCAGAGCUGGCUGAGAUCACUCCCUGCCCACAAGGAGCUCACUGCCUAAUGAGGGGAGACAGGCAUACAAAUAAAAUGAGUCUAAGAAGUGUACAGGUGCCCUGGGAGACAUCCACAUGGGGUGCUGUGGGGACCCAGACACACAAGUGGUCAGUUCUACAUCUGGCGCCUGGAAAGACUUCAUGGAGAAGGUAACUCUUGAGACAACCAUCUUCCAUGCUAGGGGAAAGAGCAUCAGGCCGACCUGGAUUCUAAUCCCUGCUUUGCCACUGGACUUAUUGGGGAACCUGAAAAAAGUUACUCUGAGCUUCACUGUCCUUACCUGGAAAAUAGGGCUUUGUGAUAAAAAAGAAAGAAGGAUGGGGAGGGGACAGACAGAAACAGAGGCUUGUGCAAAUUGCCCAGCAUACAGUGAACACUGUGUGUUUGCUUCUUCCUCUCCUUCUUCUGGAGGCAGGGCCUGUGUUUCCCCAGGCAGACUGGAGGUUCUCAGAGGACUGGGUUUAGUGUCUCCCCCCUGCCUCCCACGGCUUGCUGGUGUCUGGGAGAGGCUACAUAAAGGGCAUAGGAUUUGGAGUCAGAGGACCUGGGUUCAAACUGCAGCACAGCCACUAAAGAGCUGUGUGACCUUGGACACACUUAAG